AUGGGCUCCACGCUCCUCUGCUGUCUGACUCUCUGCCUCCUGGGAGCAGGCCUGGGGGAAUCUGGAGUCACCCAGACCCCCAAGUACCUGAUCAAAUCAAGAAAGCAGAACGCGACUCUGAGAUGUUCCCCUGACUCUGGACACCGCUCCGUGAACUGGUACCAACAGGCCCUGGGCCAGGGCCCCCAGUUCCUCAUUCAGUAUUUUGAUGGGAACCUGUAUCAAAAAGGGGACAUAUCAGAUCGAUUCUCAGGAAAACCAUUCAGUGACUCUCGCUCCGAGCUGAGCUUGACUUCCUUGGAGCUGACGGACUCAGCCGUGUAUCUCUGUGCCAGCAGCCAAGACACAGCCCUGCAUGAUCAGAUGCCUCUGGGGCGGUCCACGCUGGUGUCACUCAGGACCCCAGAUUCCAGGUCGUCAGCACAGGACAGAGCGUGACACUUAAUUGUACGCAGGAUCUGGGUCAUGACUAUAUGUGCUGGUAUCGACAAGACCCGGGACUUGGGCUGAGGCUGAUCCAUUACUCAACUGGCCCUUUUACCAAGGAGCAAGGAGACAUGCCCGACGG